rnacentral:tRNA from 1 species
GCGCUUGUUGGACGAGGAACAGACGGCCUUCGUCGUGGACGAGUGGACGGUGUGGAAGCGGCCGCCGUCCAUCCGUUCCAGGAGGACCAGGUGCCC